rnacentral:rRNA from 1 species
AAAUUGAAGAGUUUGAUCAUGGCUCAGAUUGAACGCUGGCGGCAGGCCUAACACAUGCAAGUCGAGCGGUAGCACAGAGAGCUUGCUCUCGGGUGACGAGCGGCGGACGGGUGAGUAAUGUCUGGGAAACUGCCUGAUGGAGGGGGAUAACUACUGGAAACGGUAGCUAAUACCGCAUAACGUCGCAAGACCAAAGUGGGGGACCUUCGGGCCUCAUGCCAUCAGAUGUGCCCAGAUGGGAUUAGCUAGUAGGUGGGGUAAUGGCUCACCUAGGCGACGAUCCCUAGCUGGUCUGAGAGGAUGACCAGCCACACUGGAACUGAGACACGGUCCAGACUCCUACGGGAGGCAGCAGUGGGGAAUAUUGCACAAUGGGCGAAAGCCUGAUGCAGCCAUGCCGCGUGUAUGAAGAAGGCCUUCGGGUUGUAAAGUACUUUCAGCGAGGAGGAAGGCAUCAAGGUUAAUAACCUUGGUGAUUGACGUUAC